rnacentral:lncRNA from 1 species
UGGAAUAGAAGUUUAGCAUCAUUGUGCUAUUUAUAGAGCAUUUUAAAGAGCACAACAUCUGAUUGAGUUUUACAAAAUUGCAAAAAAAAAUUAUUAAGUUGAACAAAAUCUCAAAAAAAAUUAUUGAGUUAUACAAAAUUACACAAAAUCUUAUUCAGUUGCAUAAAUUUUUAAUUUUAAUAAUUAAAGUUAUAAUAUUUGUGAUACUAUUGAUUGUUGGAGCUAAUUUAAUAAGUCUUGCAUUACUACAAAAUAGAUGUUACUUGUAGUGUCUUGUUAAAGUAUUAAUUUUGUAAUGCUAUAUUUUUAUUGGACCAUAAAAAAGGACAAUUUAAGCAAAGGUGAGAAAGACCAACAAAUGGACGAGGGGCAAGUCACCCAGCAAAGCCCCUAGGCUCCCUAAAUGGGCCAUUAGGUCGUCCAGAAGUGGCCAAGAGAUCGCCUAGAUGCAGCGAUACACCCGUCCAAUUAAGCUCUUAUUGUCCUAAGGGGGGAACCACUUCUUCUAUGAUUCUAGGAAGACUAAGUCUUCUCUUGACCACUUCCUUGAUCAUGAAGGUAGGGCAUAACCGCCCAUUAACUUUACAACUCAGACCUAAGAGAGCCUAUAUAAAUACUACUUUCCCAAGCGGAUGAGGAGGAAAUUCUAAUUCAUACUAAUCUUCUACUUCCUAAAUGAGCAACAUACUUGUCAUAGUCUUAAUACAUGAUUAAAUCAACCGCCCGCUUGCAACCAAGCAUCGUCGACCAACAACAGGGUCUCUCACCUCACGUGAAUUGAUCUCUUAAACAACUUUGGAAUACCACUGUACAUGGCUUUUCACCGCCGUGAACAAGUCUUCACCACCAAAACGUGUUAUUCACCUACUAAGAUCUCUGAGUCUCUCUGCCUUUUCAGGAAAAACACGCACACAUACUUUAUGAAUACAUAUUUUAAAUAAUAACGAUCAUAAUCCUUUAAAAAAUUAACAUCUUUUUCUCACAUUUAUUUUAUGAAAGACAAUUUAUUGAAUAAAACGAAAAACAAAAAGGAUGAAAAAACGUAAAACAUAACUCAUAAAAAAAACUAAUAAAAAUGAUAAUUAGACAUAUUCAACGUAUCUUUUAAAAACACAAAUAAGAAGUGAAUUUCACUUAAUAUCAUCUAUAAUAAAAAAAUAUAUAUUUGUUAAUCUAUCUACACAUAUAUUUACAAUAUAAAAAUAUGCAUUGCUUAAUCUAUUUGCAUAUAGAUUUCACAUUUGAUAUCUAUUAACUUUGAUGUUAUUAUUAUCUUAAAAAAUAAAUUAAUAUAUGUUAAUUUAUCAAUAAGUGUGUUUCACCUCUUCGAUGAGUUAUUUAUAUAAUUUUUUUUCCAUUUAUUACUUUGUAUAUAUUUUGGGUCUUUCUCCUAAUAUACUACGAAAGGUUAAAAGAUAAAUAAAAUAUAUAUAUAAGUUGAAUAAAAAAUCUUGAACUUUGACUAUCAUAAAAAAAAAAUAUUAUGUGAGAUAAAAGGAUAAACCGAAGAUAUUAGUCGGAGACCAUUAAUAUUAAUUCUAUUUUUAUAACUGACCUUUUGCAAAUCUUAAAUGUUAAAAACUAUUUGAUUGAAGUUGGCAAAACUUUAAAGUUUUUUAUAUAUAAAGAUGGCAAAAUUCUAUUUACUACAUGCAAAAGAGAAGAAAAAAAACAUGGUUCAAAUUCUUAUGUUUGUUUAUGCUCUUAUUUCAUUUCUUUCUCUCUUUCUUUUUGUAACAAAUGGUGGUAUGUUACUUUUUACACAUUAUUCAAAUUUUAUAAUCUAUACAUUAUUAUAUUAUCUUUUAGUAACACUCUUUUUUAUUUAUUUGACAAUGUAGAGCAAGUACCUUGUGUUACUGACGAUGAUUGUCCAUGGAAGCCUUUACCUCUAUAUAUGAUAUGCUUUGAAAAUUAUUGUCGGCACAAGCUACAUUAAAAACUAAAUUUUAAAAUAAUUAUAUUACCUCUAAACAAAUAAUUUUAUUUGUACAACAUAAUGUUUGUACUUUAUAAUUUAAUUAAAAAUCAUUUAUGUUUUUAUUGUUUUUAUUGCUUUUCAAUUUUUGUGAUAAGUUAAAAUGUGUAAUAAUAUAUUAUAUAAGUAUUCUUAUCUAUAAAAAUAGUGUCAUUGCGUAAUUAUAGUGAAUUAUUUUUAUAAACAAUUUUAUUAUAUAAUUAUUAAAU